GGGAAAUGGCUAUUGAAAGAACAUCGACCAACUUUAACUUACUUAGAAAUUGCAAAGACCCCAAAUAGAAAAAAAAAGUCAGGAAUCUAAAGUAUUCCAGUGGAAAGUAAGAGCACAAGACAAAAAGCAUCAUACAUAGAGGUCAUCAACUGCACUCUAAAAGAAAUAUUCCAGAAACAUGAAAGAAAUAUAAGAAAUGGCAACAUAACAACAGUGCUGGCGGCAGAAUGCUAUGCAUCAAACUUAACGGUGGACUGGGAAGGAGCAAAAAUAAUCAAACGAGUGCCGAAUAUGAAACAAGAAUUCAAGAAUUAAUUUUAGAAGCAUUAGAAAUAGUCAAGAGAAAACAGUAUGUAAAUAUACUAAACAGAAAAAGAUUGGAAAAUUUAAUAACAUCAUGGCAGUAUGUAAUAGAUAAAAUGUAUUGGGGGUCGGAAAAGGUUGGAAACA
rnacentral:lncRNA from 1 species